CCACUGUGCAAGAAUAUGCGGCACAUAUCCCUACAUCAGUGUGGCUAGAAGUCCUUCUCAGUGGUGGUGACGCCGUCUCACAAAGCAGAAGAGGUUAGCUGCUGAAAAGGGACCUGGAAUAUCAUUACCCCAGAGACUCCACUUUCGCUUUAAGUACAACCGGGAGGCAAAGUGUAAAGACGAAUCUCCUCUCCCAGCAAUGAAAAACUCAGGUACAGUAAACAUUUUCAUUACUUUUCAC
ensembl:lncRNA